CUGGAUUCUUUUUCCAACCAUGCAACCACGAGUUAUUUGUCAAGCACACUCUUAACAUGGAAAUGGCCAUUGUCAUGGCAAGGGAAGCUGGCGUGGACUGGAUCAUUCAUCUUGAUACUGAUGAGCUAAUGCAUCCAGCUGGAACUAGUGAGUAUUCUUUACGGAGACUUCUGGCAGAUAUACCUGAAGAUGUUGACAUGGUCGUAUUUCCUAACUAUUGUUGAGAGAGAUGAUGUGAAGGAACCUUUUAGUGAAGU